rnacentral:rRNA from 1 species
UACGGAGGGUGCAAGCGUUGCUCGGAAUUAUUGGGCGUAAAGGGUAUGUAGGUGGUCUCAUUUGUCUGGGGUGAAAUCCUUGAGCUUAACUCAAGAAGUGCCUCAGAAACGGUGAGACUAGAGUUCUGGAGAGGGUCGUGGAAUUCCCGGUGUAGCGGUGAAAUGCGUAGAGAUCGGGAGGAACACCAGAGGCGAAGGCGGCGACCUGGACAGAUACUGACACUAAACUACGAAAGCGUGGGGAGCAAACAGG